CAGAGGGGGCAAGCGUUAUUCGGAAUUAUUGGGCGUAAAGGGCGCGUAGGCGGCUUUUCAAGUGGCGGGUGAAAUCCCUCGGCUUAACCGAGGAACUGCCUGCCAGACUGGAAGGCUUGAGACCGGGAGAGGUGAGUGGAAUUCCCAGUGUAGCGGUGAAAUGCGUAGAUAUUGGGAGGAACACCAGUGGCGAAGGCGGCUCACUGGACCGGAACUGACGCUGAGGCGCGAAAGCGUGGGGAGCAAACAGGAUUAGAUACCCUGGUAGUCCACGCCGUAAACGAUGAGUGCUUGGUGUAGCGGGUAUCGACCCCUGCUGUGCCGAAGUCAACACAUUAAGCACUCCGCCUGGGGAGUACGGUCGCAAGACUG
rnacentral:rRNA from 1 species